rnacentral:rRNA from 1 species
CCUACGGGUGGCAGCAGUGGGGAAUAUUGCACAAUGGGGGAAACCCUGAUGCAGCGACGCCGCGUGAGCGAUGAAGUUUUUCGGAAUGUAAAGCUCUAUCAGCAGGGAAGAAUAUGACGGUAUCUGAGUAAGAAGCACCGGCUAACUCCGUGCCAGCAGCCGCGGUAAUACGUAGGGUGCAAGCGUUAUCCGGAAUUACUGGGCGUAAAGGGAGCGUAGGCGGCGUGCCAAGUCUGAUGUGAAAUCCUGGGGCUUAACCCCGGGGCUGCAUUUGAAACUGGCAGUCUGGAGUGCCGGAGAGGUAGGUGGAAUUCCUAGUGUAGCGGUGAAAUGCGUAGAUAUUAGGAGGAACACCAGUGGCGAAGGCGACCUGCUGGAAGAUGACUGACGCUGAGGCGCGAAAGCGUGGGGAGCAAACAGGAUUAGAUACCCGAGUAGUC